GUGCCAGCAGCCGCGGUAAUACGUAGGGCGCAAGCGUUGUCCGGAAUUAUUGGGCGUAAAGAGCUCGUAGGCGGUUUGUCGCGUCUGCUGUGAAAACGCAAGGCUUAACCUUGCGCCUGCAGUGGGUACGGGCAGACUAGAGUGCGGUAGGGGAGACUGGAAUUCCUGGUGUAGCGGUGGAAUGCGCAGAUAUCAGGAGGAACACCGAUGGCGAAGGCAGGUCUCUGGGCCGUUACUGACGCUGAGGAGCGAAAGCAUGGGGAGCGAACAGGAUUAG
rnacentral:rRNA from 1 species